rnacentral:rRNA from 1 species
UACGUAGGGUGCGAGCGUUAAUCGGAAUUACUGGGCGUAAAGCGUGCGCAGGCGGUUUGUUGUGUCUGAUGUGAAAGCCCCGGGCUUAACCUGGGAAUGGCAUUUGGGACUGCAAGGCUGGAGUGCGGCAGAGGAGACUGGAAUUCCUGGUGUAGCAGUGAAAUGCGUAGAUAUCAGGAGGAAUACCGAUGGCGAAGGCAGGUCUCUGGGCUGACACUGACGCUCAUGCACGAAAGCGUGGGGAGCAAACAGG